UGAACGCUGGCGGCGUGCCUAACACAUGCAAGUCGAACGGAGAAUUACGCUGAUGAAGCUUCGGCAGAUUCUGUAAAUCUUAGUGGCGGACGGGUGAGUAACGCGUGGGCAACCUGCCUCAUACUGGGGGAUAACAGCUGGAAACGACUGUUAAUACCGCAUAAGCGCACGGUAUCGCAUGAUACAGUGUGAAAAACUCCGGUGGUAUGAGAUGGGCCCGCGUCAGAUUAGCCAGUUGGCAGGGUAACGGCCUACCAAAGCGACGAUCUGUAGCCGGCCUGAGAGGGCGGACGGCCACAUUGGGACUGAGACACGGCCCAAACUCCUACGGGAGGCAGCAGUGGGGGAUAUUGCACAAUGGAGGAAACUCUGAUGCAGCGACGCCGCGUGAAGUGAAGAAGUAUUUCGGUAUGUAAAGCUCUAUCAGCAGGGAAGAAAGACUCGUAAGAGAGAUGACGGUACCUGACUAAGAAGCCCCGGCUAACUACGUGCCAGCCGCUGC
rnacentral:rRNA from 1 species